rnacentral:rRNA from 1 species
AUACGUAGGGAGCGAGCGUUGUCCGGAAUUACUGGGUGUAAAGGGAGCGUAGGCGGGACUGCAAGUCAGAUGUGAAAUACCGGGGCUUAACCCCGGAGCUGCAUUUGAAACUGUGGUUCUUGAGUGAAGUAGCGGCAAGCGGCAUUCCUGGUGUAGCGGUGAAAUGCGUAGAUAUCAGGAGGAACACCGGUGGCGAAGGCGGCUUGCUGGGCUUUUACUGACGCUGAGGCUCGAAAGCGUGGGUAGCAAACAGGAUUAGAUACCCUGGUAGUCCACGCUGUAAACGAUGAUUACUAGGUGUGGGGGGACUGACCCCUUCCGUGCCGCAGUUAACACAAUAAGUAAUCCACCUGGGGAGUACGGCCGCAAGGUUGAAACUCAAAUGAAUUGACGGGG